GCCUGAGUGGCUCAGUCAGUUAAGCGUCUGACUUCAGCUCAGGUCAUGAUCUCACAGUCUGUGGGUUCGAGCCCCACGUUGGGCU
rnacentral:tRNA from 1 species